UCCCUGGAGGACUAGUGGUUAGGCCAUAACACUCUCACUGCUGCAGCCAGGGGUCAAUUCCAUGCCAGGGAG
rnacentral:tRNA from 1 species